rnacentral:rRNA from 1 species
UACGUAGGCAGCGAGCGUUGUUCGGAGUUACUGGGCGUAAAGCGUGCGUAGGCGGUGUCUUAAGUUUGUUGUAAAAUCUCCCGGCUUAACCGGGAGGGUGCGGCGAAUACUGAGAUGCUGGAGUGCGGGAGAGGUAAGCGGAAUUCCUGGUGUAGCGGUGAAAUGCGUAGAUAUCAGGAGGAACACCUGCGGUGUAGACGGCUUACUGGACCGUAACUGACGCUGAGGCACGAAAGCGUGGGUAGCAAACAGG